rnacentral:tRNA from 1 species
UUAGAGGUAGUAUACAAAGUAUACCCGUUUUACACGCGGGGGGCGUCGAUGAGUAGGCUCUCUAAU